rnacentral:rRNA from 1 species
UGGGAAUUUGCGCAGUGGGCGAAAGCCUGACGCAGCAACGCCGCGUGCGGGAUGAAGGCCUUCGGGUUGUAAACCGCUUUCAGCAGGGAAGAAGCGAAAGUGACGGUACCUGCAGAAGAAGCACCGGCUAACUACGUGCCAGCAGCCGCGGUAAUAA